rnacentral:rRNA from 1 species
GAUGAACGCUGGCGGCGUGCCUAAUACAUGCAAGUCGAGCGAACGGACGAGAAGCUUGCUCCUCUGAUGUUAUCGGCGGACGGGUGAGUAACACGUGGAUAACCUACCUAUAAGACUGGGAUAACUACGGGAAACCGGAGCUAAUACCGGAUAAUAUUUUGAACCGCAUGGUUCAAGAGUGAAAGACGGUCUUGCUUUCACUUAUAGAUGGAUCCGCGCUGCAUUAGCUAGUUGGUAAGGUAACGGCUUACCAAGGCAACGAUGCAUAGCCGACCUGAGAGGGAGGACGGACACCCUGGAACUGAGACACGGCCCACACUCCUACGGGAGGCCGCAGUAGGGAAUCUUACGCGAGGGGGGAAUGCCUGACAGAGCAAAGCCGCGUGAGUGCUGAAGGACUUCGGAUCGUAAAGCUAUGUUAUUAGGGGAGAACAUAUGUGUAAGUACCUGUGAACAUCUUGACGGUACCUAAUCAGAAAGCCACGGCUAACUACGUG